rnacentral:misc_RNA from 1 species
GAUGAAGAACGCAGCGAAAUGCGAUAAGUAAUGUGAAUUGCAGAAUUCAGUGAAUCAUCGAAUCUUUGAACGCACAUUGCGCCCGUCAGUAUUCUGGCGGGCAUGCCUGUUCGAGCGUCAUUACAACCCUCAGGCCCCCGGGCCUGGCGUUGGGGAUCGGCGGAGCCCCCCGUGGGCACACGCCGUCCCCCAAAUGCAGUGGCGGUCCCGCCGCAGCUUCCAUCGCGUAGUAGCUAACACCUCGCGACUGGAGAGCGGCGCGGCCACGCCGUAAAACACCCAACUCUUCUGAAGUUGACCUCGAAUCAGGUAGGAAUACCCGCUGAACUUAAGCAUAUCAAUAAGCGGAGGA